rnacentral:rRNA from 1 species
UACGGAGGGUGCGAGCGUUGUCCGGAAUCAUUGGGCGUAAAGGGCGCGUAGGUGGCCCGGUCAGUCCGUGGUGAAAGCGCGGGGCUCAACCCUGCGUCGGCCAUGGAUACUGCCGCGGCUGGAGCACUGUAGAGGCAGGCGGAAUUCCGGGUGUAGCGGUGGAAUGCGUAGAGAUCCGGAAGAACACCGGUGGCGAAGGCGGCCUGCUGGGCAGUGGGGGAGACCCCUUCAAGCUGACACUGAGGCGCGACAGCGUGGGGAGCAAACAGG